rnacentral:rRNA from 1 species
UGAGCAAUCUGCCCUUCUCUUCGGAAUAAGCGUUGGAAACGACGUCUAAUGCCGAAUACGACCUCCUUUCGCAUGAUCGGAGGUGGAAAGCUCCGGCGGAGAAGGAUGAGCUCGCGGCCUAUCAGCUAGUUGGUGUGGGUAACGGCCCACCAAGGCGACGACGGGUAGCCGGCCUGAGAGGGUGACCGGCCACACUGGGACUGAGACACGGCCCAGACUCCUACGGGAGGCAGCAGG